AGAAGGCUGCCUGAAUACAAAAUUGGAGAACGGCAACCACGGAGUCGCGGCCACUGCUUCGCACCCGGUGCUGAUGUCGCGGAGGUGCAAACUGGAGAGCGGACGCGCGCCGAAAAGGGCAGCGUAGAGGCCCUAUGUGGACUCCAAGAGAGCCAUGGACGCCCUGGCAGCAAACGGACGCGGCGCAUCUCUCCCGCCCACGACACGCUCGAUGGAUUGCCAUACCCGCAUAGCAGCAGCAUCGGAGAGGAGGGAAGCAGAGCCGCUGCUUCCUGCUUUAUGCUUAGCCAAGUGAAGAGAAGAGGAACAGAGAGACAUCAGGCAGCGGAGAUAACAUGUUAAGGCCUCCCUGAUGCAGCCUUUGUCACUUAAGCCAGGGCACGUAUUGCAAUACUUAGAAUAUGCACAGCUUAUCGCUUGUCAGACAUAUCUACCUUUGAUUAUCCAUUAUCUUUCUCACAAAAUGAAUGUCCAGUAGCGUUCUGGGCGUCGUGGUUUGUUCAUGGCGCUGGCUGUUGGGGCUUUUCCAAUAUUUUGGAAUCCCUUGCUGAGGUGGGAGGUGGAGCUGUCCGGGCUCCGGCAAUGAAGAUGAAGAUUGGAUGAUAAAUAUUUUCCAACAAAUCCAUGUUCAUUUGGAUUAUGCACUCAAGAAUUUGAUAAGUCAAUGUUCAUUUGGAAAGUACUUUUAAGCUCUAGAAAGCGAGGCCUGUUUGUUGUCAGUUUUUUCACUUUCAGAAAUUGAUAAGCCAAUGUCCAGAUCUAAGAUACUUGGAGCCUAGACAUGUUAUUCUAUUAUUUUAAAUUUUUUGAAGCUGUGUCAACACAGAUAAUGCUUUCUGAAAGUGUUCUAGUCAUAAAUUUGGAGACCU